rnacentral:rRNA from 1 species
CCAUGCUCUACAUUUCCUAUUGAUCCUGCCGGACCUGACUGCUAUCGGAUUGGUACUAAGCCAUGCGAGUCGUUGUAGCAAUACAAGGCGGACUGCUCAGUAACACGUAGUUAACUUAACCUAUGGAUGGGCAUAACCUCGGGAAACUGAGAAUAAUACCCAAUGGACCACAGUGCCUGGAAUGGCCUGUGGUUGAAAUGAUUUAUCGCCGUAGGAUAGGACUGCGGCCUAUCAGCUUGUUGGUGAGGUAAUGGCCCACCAAGGCUAUAACAGGUACGGGCUCUGAGAGGAGGGGCCCGGAGAUGGGUACUGAGACACGGACCCAGGCCCUAUGGGGCGCAGCAGGCGAGAAACCUUUGCAAUGUGCGAAAGCACGACAAGGUUAAUCCGAGUGUCUCCUGCUAAAGGAGUCUUUUGUCAGUUGUAGAAUCACUGGUGAAUAAGGGGUGGGCAAGUUCUGGUGUCAGCCGCCGCGGUAAAACCAGCACCUCGAGUGGUCAGGAGGUUUAUUGGGCCUAAAGCAUCCGUAGCCGGUUGCAUAAGUUUUCGGUUAAAUCUAUGCGCUUAACGUAUAGGCCGCCGAAAAUACUGUGCAGCUAC